rnacentral:tRNA from 1 species
CCGUCGAUAGCUCAGUUGGUAGAGCGGUGGACUGUAGAGGUAUGCCCGACGCUGUCAUCCAUAGGUCGCUGGUUCGAAUCCGGCUCGACGGA